GAUGAAGAACGCAGCGAAAUGCGAUAAGUAAUGUUAAUUGCAGAAUUCAGUGAAUCAUCGAAUCUUUGAACGCACAUUGCGCCCGCCAGUAUUCUGGCGGGCAUGCCUGUUCGAGCGUCAUUACAACCCUCAGGCCCCCGGGCCUGGCGUUGGGGAUCGGCGGAGCCCCCCGUGGGCACACGCCGUCCCCCAAAUGCAGUGGCGGUCCCGCCGCAGCUUCCAUCGCGUAGUAGCUAACACCUCGCGACUGGAGAGCGGCGCGGCCACGCCGUAAAACACCCAACUCUUCUGAAGUUGACCUCGAAUCAGGUAGGAAUACCCGCUGAACUUAAGCAUAUCAAUAAGCGGAGGA
rnacentral:misc_RNA from 1 species